AACGCACCUUGCGCUCUUUGGUAUUCCGAAGAGCAUGCCUGUUCGAGUGUUAUUAAAUUCUCAAACCAAUAGCUUUAUUGUCUAUUGGCUUUGGACUUUGAGGGUUGUUGGUGCAAAUCGACUCCCUUUAAAUAUAUUAGCUGGCAUUGACUGCCAGACUAUGGUGUGAUAAUUAUCUACGCUAUUGGUCUGACAUGUUGGCUGCUUCUAAUCGUCUUCGGACAACACUCUUUGAAAUUUAACCUCGAAUCAGGUAGGACUACCCGCUGAACUUAA
rnacentral:misc_RNA from 1 species